CUAAUGAAGUCGCAGAUCUCCUGGCUGUUCACCAUGAAGUUAAUACCGUCUGUAGUAAGGACCAGGAAGCUGUCGUCUGCAUGAUGCAACUGCAGUAAAGGCAAGCAGUGUGGGUAACAAUGAAGAGAGCGCUGCAAGGCAGAAUGUCUUAAUUUUUUCCCUCUGUUGCAAAGCACUUUUUAUGGGGGUGCUGCACGUUCCCUGCUUUCUGCACAAGGACUUCCAGUUCUGGAAAACAAUCCUCUGAAUAGUUUGAGGCCAAAAGCCAAGACCCAUACGUUACCAAGUAAAUGAAACGCCUCCUUCAACUGAGGAUUUCAAGGCAGAGAUGUUACCACUGAGAUCAGCUCACUAAAUUCCUCUGGCCUAAUGGACAGUGUUUUGUGUUUGGUUAGUACCAACCAAAUUUAAGUUCCCUCAGCACUGGGAUGCACUGGGGAUGGGGGAAAAAUACCAAGUAGAAUAUGAGAUGAGAAGGAAGCUUUCUUUCUCGUAAGGGUAGGAGCAAACCUGAAGGCAACUGUGCUGAAUGCAUUCUGGAUGGUUACUCUGUUUCCUGAACAACUGCAGAGCCAUGGCCCAACCCCGCUGCAGGAGAACAAAACCACAUCCUGACCAAGGCCAGCCCCAGGGAAGCCACGACAUCAGCUGACAGGUAUGUUACUGCAAUGAAGACUUGGUUUAGCUAUACACUUAACCAAAAUGUCAAUCGUGAACAUCAACCAUCUCCAGGUCAAAUCUCUGACUACGUUAUGGCUGCAGUGCAGACAACGAUAUACAAAACCGUUUAGAUGCCAGUAGCUUCUGAGUAUUCAGAUCUUUCAAUAGGUUCUUAACACUCACUGGACAUUUUUUACUGCAAGUCAUCUCAACUAAUGUGACAAAGAGGAUGUGGGAACCUUCCAGUAGUCCAGGCUAGGAACCGCCGGACUCCUUCACCUGGGACAAAAUUAAGCAGAUCUCUCUUUCCACUGAAGCCCAGCAUAUAGUGUCCAGGGCCUCCAGUUCUAGAGCUGCUGACCAGAAGUCAGCUGCUGCUGCCCCUCCGUGUCCAUCAUAUACUGCAAAGUAUAGGACAUCCUCCGUCAGCUGAGCAUAAUCAAAUCGGU